ACCCUCCGCGCGCACGGGAGGUCGUGAGGGCGGAACCCUCCGCGCGCACGGGAGGUCCUGAGGCCGGAACCCUCCUCGCGCACGGGAGGUCGUGAGGGCGGAACCGUUGUACGUGGAAUUCUUGCUCAUAUUAAAGAGACCAAAGAACGCCCUUGCUCCUUCUACUACGUGAGGGCACAGAGAGGAGACAGCCACCAUCUGUGAACCAGGAAGCCCCCACCAGGCGCUGAAUCUGCUCCUGCCUUGAUGUUAGACUUGCAGGCUCCAAAACUCUCCAGAAAAUGUGGUUAAUGCUGGUGCAGGACAGGCUUUAACGACCAUUGAAACUACUGCCGCCACCAAAAUUCAGUGGAUGCCUUCCCGAGUUGGGGUGAAACGGCAUCUUGAACUUUUCAAAUGACACGCAUCCCAGAUGUCAUCUCGAGGACAUGGACUUCUUUUGCAGCCUGUCCUACAUCCGUGGAAAUCAUGUCCUCUCCUGGUGUCUAUUGCAGAAACAGAAGCAAUUCUUAUCCUGCGAGGCGUGUGUGUUAAUGUCGCCACGUGUGUGUUAAUGUCGCCACUUUCAGUAAAAUCCAAAUCAUCUAUGGUAUGUGUUUUUUGUUUUACAUUUUGUGGGUGGGAGCCUUUUGCACUGCCUGGUAUGUGUUGCUGUGUAUCUGAAGAAUCCUCUCCUAUUGCCUUCCAUUUAUAGUGACCAAGCUGGACCAUUUAUGCUAGAAAUGAAAGGCAGCAUAAUUAGCCAACAGUGGAACUACUAGUCAAACCACCAUUGACAUCGUGUUAAAUAUCUGUUACGCAUCCAUUCACUAAACAUUGCCUCUUUCUUUGAUCUUAGGAAAAAGAGAAGAGUAUUAAUGAAAGCAAAAACAGAAUCCUGGGGAAAAUGAUCUCUGACUUUAGUGAGAGGUUGACGUUAAUUAUGGGAACAGGACAACAGAUCUAGAGGACUUCAUCCCAGUCCUCGAGUCUGGAAGCAAAGGACUCCAACACGUGAAGUUCCCACUCGUUGAUAGCCUGAGUCCCUGAGUCACCACUUGGAAGAGAGCUGUUUACGUGGACCGCCAGAUCCACACCGCAACAGUAAAACUUUUAGUUCUGUAAGCCACUGGGGCGGUGGGCUUGUUACUGAAACAUACCUGGUCUACCCUGACUGAUAACAACCAGUUUUUAUCUAACAAUAGGCCAUGUCUCCGUCUGUGUGUAGAGGAGUACCACCGGGAUUUAAAUGCAUGACUGCACGGAGAGCACUAUAAAAGUGCAUCGUGAGUACCCAAGAAAUACUAGUGGUUACAAUUAUAUAUUACAUGCAGAUUUUAGUUUCUCUGUAUAUUUACCAAGAACAGCUUAGAGAAGAAAGUAUUCCUCAUUUCUCUAGUGAACACAAUGUGUUCCUCCCAACAUGACUUUUUCAACAUGGAUUUUUAAAGUGCAAAAUAUCACCGAUGAUUCCUCUUUGGUCUUUCUGUUCUCUUCUCAUGAUUAUUAUUCUGGGAUGAGCAACUAACAUAAACUUGUUUCAGUUGUGUAAUAUUUUAUAUUCUCUGAUUUGGGAGAACAUUCUUUUCCCAUCAAAGUCAUAAAAACAUUUACUCCACUAGGAAUACUAACUGACUUUUAUUUGAAACACAGAGAAAAAGAAGCCUUAGGUAAGUUGUAAACUUCUUAUAUCUGGAAGACUAACUUUAGCUUACAGUAGUUUCAAUUAAUUCCUAAUUACUUUUGUAUCAUCUUUAUAUGAGAGGAGACACAUUAGGAGUGAGGAAUAAUUAUGUGUAGCACUAUCUCUUUCACAGAGUUGAAAGAAGGUUGUGUUUAUUAUGAACACUACAGUAACGAUCAUUAGUAACUCUUUACAUCUGUGUUUUUCUACCUCUGAAGAGCUUUGAGCUAAUAAAUUCUCCACUUACAGAAAAAAACGAAGAAGAAGAUCUCACUUUUUCCCCAUGGAUAUCACAAAUUCAAAAUAUUUAGCAAGAUAUUAUGAUUUCACUGCGAAAACCCUCUCUGCACCAAAGAUGAAUCUUUAUGAAUGUAGAAUAAGACUUUUUCAUAAUGGAUGUCCCCUUCAAUGGCUCCCCAUGAUCUGCACCUCGUGUCUUCAUCCUCUUGCGUCAUCACGUCCACAAUCAUCUUAUUGAGUCUCUUCUUAGGAACAGAUGUGACAGAAGUGAUGGGAUGUCCCUCCCCAAAUCAGAAUAUGAAAAGACUAUGGUUUCCAUCUUAAGUGGUUUGUGGAGCGGUGUCUUGGCUCAGCUGUUGCACACCAUGAGGACACGCAGACCGCCUGUGGUAGGUGUGGAUGUGGAUGAUCGGUCCCAGUAGGGUCCAGAGAAGCCUGCAGUCCCAGAUGGCAGCUUGACUACAACUUCAUGUGAUCCUCCAAUCAGCAUAGCCUUCCCGGGAUACUCACGAGGUGCUCCAUGUUUGAUUAACUGCAGGCGGAUGCACAAAAAUGCAAAUCUCCCUGCUGAAAGGAAAGAAAGAAGGAAAAUAGUUUCUGGGUUGGUCUGUGCUCCAAGCAGGAAGAAUGCCCCUUGCUCUCUUUGUGCACCAUACAAAGGGUGUGCAAAUAUGUCUUAGCAUUCAGAACGUUCAGAGUCAUAGUAUUUGAGAAUUUUAUUAUGACGUGUUACCCCUAAAGUUAAUACUAUUUCCCAAUUUUUAAAAUGUUUCCAAUAGUUGUGAUUUAUAAGUAAUAUGAGCAAUAAUACCAAAAUAGAAUAUUUCAAAGCCUAUUUGGAUGUUGUUGUCUCAGUAUAUGAGCUUGUAAAACUAUGAAUUUUAUCACCUUUUCCUAACUGGUCACUGCUACAUAAAACAAGAAAAUAAAUUAAGCAGGUAUUAUACUUUGUAUAGUACUAUCACAAACCUCAGACACUUCAGUUCAGCUGUGUGAAAAAAAUGGCCUAAUUGUUAAUAUUUAUGCCUCUAUUCCUUCAUUGUUAGUCUAUUUUAUUUAAGUAUAUACACUAAUUACAGUAUGUUAGUUCUAUUUCUUAUUCGUAAUUGAAGCAGACCAUUUGGGCUGCUGUAAUGAAAUACCUUAGGCUGGGUAAUUUCUAAACAGAAGAACUGCAUUUCUCACAGUUCUGGAGUCUGGAAAAUCUAAGAUGAAGGCACCAGUAGAUUCAGUGUCUGGGGAGGGCUGCUCUUUGCUUCAAAAAUAGUGCCUUUGCUCUGUGUCUUUACAUGGUGAAAAGGACAGAGGAGCUCUCUGGGACCUCUUUUAUAAGAAUGCUAAUCCCAUUCACCUUCCAAAGUCUCCAGUUGUCGAUACGGUUUUGUUGGGGGUUAGCUUUCAAUGUAAAAAUUUGGAGGGAACAAACAGAUUUUUCUCUAAUGGAAAUAAACUCUUAUACAAUCAAAUUGUAAAAAAUAGAAUUUUUUAGGGAAAAAGAGGAGAAGGAAGAAGAUGUUAUAUUAAUAGCAUAAACCAUUCGAAAUUUCAAGGUGUUUGGGGUUGCAAAAUCUGAAUCUUUAGGUUUUCUGUUCUCAGAAAUUUAGACAAAACAGCCAAUGUUUUAUAACUUCUGAUUUAUCAUCUUUAAAAAUGAUGGAAUAACUUCCCUCCUAUUCUUACAAUUCAUUAAACUACAUCAAAGUGCUUGGAAAACUUAAAAGACUGUUUACAUGUAGACAUGUAGUAAUCUGGUUAAUAUCACCAUAGUGAAGAAUGAAUGAAAGCAAAAUCAAGGUAGCAAUGUAAAGUAUGUAAGAAAAUAAAUAAGCAUAUAUCUCAUUUCUUGCCCUAUUGUUUAUUAUUUAAAUAAAAAUACAAGCAGUGUGAAAAUGUUUAAAAGGCAGCUCUCUUCCAAAAGCUGAUAAUGAGCUAGCCUGUUACAGCAGCUGACAUUUCCUGGUACACACAAAGAAGAGUACAUGUCAUGAAAAAUUAGAUGUGUGCAGUAUUUUAAUGUUAAAGAAUUUGCAAGCAAUAGACCUCAAUGCUGUUACUAACAUCAAACAUGGAGACACUUAAAAGGGGUUGUGUUGAAAGUGAAAUUUUAUUUUCACAGUUUCCCUUAGACAUUUCAUUUUUUUCUUUUGCUGACUUUUCUAAUUGUCGCCUAUGAAAAUUUGUUUUAUUCAAAAUGUAGACAUUUUGAGAGCAGUGUCAUUACCAACAACAAUAUUUCUGUAUUUAUAAGUUCUAGCAAUUUACAAAUAUUGAUUUUUGGGGAUGAGUGCAUGGUGAGCCUAUUGCCUCUGCAGGUGUAAAUAUUCUGGCAAGUCUCUUUCUUUAAUGCCUCUUUCAUCUGUCUGUUUGUGUAGCCACAGAGUUUCCAGAAAUAUGUGCAAGGUAUCUUCUACUUUCAAGAAAUUCAUAGGUUAACAGCAAACCCCAAUUUUCUAGGAUCCACAGUGUUCAGUAGUGUGUGGGUAUACAUAUUGGUGAGCUCUCACGUAAUGUAUUUUAAAUAUUUAAUUACAAUAAUUGUCUAGACUGAAUCAGUGUGGCCUUGGGCUUGUGUCUUUGAUGUGUAACUUCUCUCUCUCCCUCUCUCUCUCUAACAUCAUCUUUCUGAAAAGGGUCUUGAUCAACCCUCGCUUCCUCCAGUUUGGGCUCUAGCCAUGUCCAUUGUGUGUGUCAAUCAGGUGCAGUCUCAUUGCACCUGUCCCUUUAAGUUCCUAAAGGAAUUGUUUGAGCCUGGGUAUGUAAUACAAAUGUGACUCCUCAGUACAUUUCAAGGAAGGAGAUUAAUAGAUAAGAAUAAGAAAGAAGAUUUAAACUUGUUCAUUUUGACUCUCAAAGGCCAUCCAAGACCCAGCACGUUUUAUAUUCCUGUAGGAACUGAGACGUUGCAGUCAUCAAAUUAAGAAUUGAAGAGUUUCUGUACUUCUCAGUCUUACUUAUGUUCUUAAUCUCCUAAUAUGCAGCCUUAUAAAGGUUAAUGCAAUGAUCAGAAAUCAUUGGGAGUGAGAAAUAUAUUCUCACUUUCUAUUUACUGAGCACUUACUUGGUGCUCGAUGCUAACAGUUUUAAGUGCAUCAUCUCACUGAAUCUACACAGAUAAAUAAUUUCAUGGAAUAAUUAUGGAGGAAGGACAGGCUGCCUGCCACUAUCACAUCUUUUAUAUUGAGAAGAGAACAGGGAAAAAGUGGGAUUAUUCAUGGCUAUCCACACAUACACAACAUCCAUGCCAGGGGAACAAGGGAGAUUUAGAAAAAUGAGCUACUACUUUUCAAGAUGGGGUUAGGAAUAGGAAGGUACAUUCUAUAAUUUUCCAACUGGGAUCUUCCCGUGGGACCUAAAUAUCUACACACUGGCCUGGAAAAUGCUAAUAUAGACACAGAAAUACAUGUGUAUGCCUAUGGCCAUAUUUAUAUCUCUCUAUUAAUGUAUAGUUAUUAGUAACUACAUUUAUAUAGAAUCUGUAUCUAUGUCCUUGUCUAUGCCUGUCUAUUAAUAUCUAUACUGACAACAGCAUCUAUAUUUAUCUAUCUUGACAUCAACAUCUAUAUUAAUAUCCACAUCUAUAUUUUCAACUACAUCUAAUCAGUGCCUCUGUUUAUACCUAUAUUGAUAUAGCUAACAAUGUCUAUAUCCAUAUCUGUAUCUAUAUCCAAUUUAAGUGUAUAGUGAGUCCAUAUAUCAAUAUUGACAUCAAUAUCUAUUACUGUAUCUAGUUUAUAUGUAUAAUGAUACAGAUAUUCACAUGUGCAUCUAGAUAUAUGUAUGUAAUCUAUGUGUAUGUAUUUAUUUAUAUCUCUAUAUUGGUAUCACUGUUGAUACUAGCAUCAAUACCAAACAUUCACAGCUAAUCUAAUUCUAUGUUUAUAGGUAUAUCUAUGUCAAUGUCUACACCUAUACUUAGAUCUUGGCAUCAGUGUUGACAUCUACCUCACUUUCUACCUGUCUAUCCAUGCUGAUUUCUGUAUCUAAUCUGUGUCUAUGACUAUGUUUAUGUCUACAUUUACACCAAGAACAACAUUGACAAGAACAUCAACAUCAACAUCGGUAUCAAUUUUUAUACUGGAUCUAUUUGUAUGUCUAUAUCAGUAUCAAUAUAGACACCAAUGUAUACAGAUUCACCCAUAUCUGUGUUUAUGUCUUUGUGUUUAUCCAUAUCAACAUUGAUACCAGCAUCAACAUUGAUGUUGACAUUAACAUCUGCAUUUAUAUUCAACUAUGCCUAUGUCUACAUCUACAUUGAUAUUGAUGCUGCCAUCUUUGGUGUGUUCAUCUACACGUACAAGUACACUACAGGUUCAUCUACAGCUACAUGCACAUAUACAUCUGUAUCUAUGUUUAUUGUCUGUUAUUGUCUGUGGCUAGUCUGUAACUGUACCUAUUUUGACAUCUAUCUAAUAUAUUUGACAUAUAUCUAAUAUAUAUGUAUCCUUACCUGAAUCUACACUUACAUCUAUAUUA